GCCACUAGUCCUAAGACAAACAUUGUAACUAUGGCACCAAGAGUCAAACCAGAGCUUCCUUUGCCUACAAUUUCAGUCGAGGUUGAGCAGUCUAUACUUGAUCACAGUAGAUUUUGUAACAAGAAAACAGGUUGAUGAUAUUUAAACUUCAUCAUCAAGUUCUGAGGUUUGUGUUUUUCUCCAAUUAAUUAUUCUUUUAGAUUGAACAUGUCUAUACUCGUCACAUGCUCAGACAUAUCUUUCCAUGAAAAGAAUCUGGACUUGAGGCUGGAUCUGUGCACCAAAAGAACUGUAACUACUUUUACUGAUGAUGACUUGGAAAGCCUCAAAUUUUUGAUAAAUUCUGCUAGAUGUUAGGCACCCAAUAAAAG